rnacentral:rRNA from 1 species
ACGAACGCUGGCGGCGUGCUUAACCCAUGCAAGUCGAACGGUGAAGGGGUCUGCUUUUGUGGGCCCUGGAUGAGUGGCGAACGGGUGAGUAACACGUGAGUAACCUGCCCCCUUCUUCUGGAUAACCGCAUGAAAGUGUGGCUAAUACGGGAUAUUCUGGGUCUGUCGCAUGAUGGGUCUGGGAAAGAUUGCGCCUUUGGGUGUUUUUGGUGGGGGAUGGGCUCGCGGCCUAUCAGCUUGUUGGUGGGGUGAUGGCCUACCAAGGCGGUGACGGGUAGCCGGCCUGAGAGGGUGGACGGUCACACUGGGACUGAGACACGGCCCAGACUCCUACGGGAGGCAGCAGUGGGGAAUAUUGCACAAUGGGCGCAAGCCUGAUGCAGCGACGCCGCGUGAGGGAUGGAGGCCUUCGGGUUGUAAACCUCUUUCGCCAGUGAAGCAGGCCUGCUCCUUGUGGGUGGGUUGACGGUAGCUGGAUAAGAAGCGCCGGCUAACUACGUG